rnacentral:rRNA from 1 species
GAUGAACGCUGGCGGCGUGCCUAAUACAUGCAAGUCGAGCGAACGGACGAGAAGCUUGCUUCUCUGAUGUUAGCGGCGGACGGGUGAGUAACACGUGGAUAACCUACCUAUAAUACUGGGAUAACUUCGGGAAACCGGAGCUAAUACCGGAUGAUAUUUUGAACCGCAUGGUUCAAAAGUGAAAGACGGUCUUGCUGUCACUUAUAGAUGUAUCCGCGCUGCAUUAGCUAGUUGGUAAGGUAACGGCUUACCAAGGCAACGAUGCAUAGCCGACCUGAGAGGGUGAUCGGCCACACUGGAACUGAGACACGGUCCAGACUACUACGGGAGGCAGCAGUAGGGAAUAUUCCGAAAUGGGCGAAAGCAUGACGGAGCAACGCCGCGUGAGUGAUGAAGGUCUUCGGAUCGUAAAACUCUGUUAUUAGGGAAGAACAUAUGUGUAAGUAACUGUGCACAUCUUGACGGUACCUAAUCAGAAAGCCACGGCUAACUACGUG